GUGCUGCUUCAGCAGCACAUAUACUUAAAGUUGGACCGAUACAGAGGAGAUUAUCAUGAGCUCUGUGCAAGGAUGACACACAAAUUUGUGAAGUGUUCUAUAUUUUU
rnacentral:snRNA from 1 species